GCCUAGGUAGCUUGGUUGGUAGCGCCUGUCUUGUAAGCACUAGACCGCGGGUUUGAUUCCCGCCCGGGGUG
rnacentral:tRNA from 1 species